rnacentral:tRNA from 1 species
GCCUGGGUGGCUCAGUGGGUUGGGCGCCUGACUUCGGCUCGGGUUCAUGGUCUGUGGGUUCCAGCCCCGCGUCGGGCU